GCACCUGAACUUGCUGUGCUAUACUCUCAACCAGAAGAUUAAAGAGUCAGGCAACAUGGACAGAGAUAGAUAGCGGAACUGACAGGAACAGAAAACCAAAUGCCGCAUGUUCUAGCUUAUAAGUGGGAGCUAAACAUUGAGUACACAGGGACACAAAGAAGAAAAUGACAGACACUGAGGCCUACUUGAUAGUGGACAGUGGGAAGGAGGGUAAGGACUG
rnacentral:lncRNA from 10 species